AGUGAACGCUGGCGGUAGGCCUAACACAUGCAAGUCGAACGGCAGCACAGUAAGAGCUUGCUCUUACGGGUGGCGAGUGGCGGACGGGUCAGGAAUACAUCGGAAUCUACUUUUUCGUGGGGGAUAACGUAGGGAAACUUACGCUAAUACCGCAUACGACGUACGGGUGAAAGCAUGGGAUCUUCGGAUCUUGCGCGAUUGUAUGAGCCGAUGUCGGAUUAGCUAGUUGGCGGGGUAAAGGCCCACCAAGGCGACGAUCCGUAGCUGGUCUGAGAGGAUGAUCAGCCACACUGGAACUGAGACACGGUCCAGACUCCUACGGGAGGCAGCAGUGGGGAAUAUUGGACAAAGGGCGCAAGCCUGAUCCAGCCAUACCGCGUGUGUGAAGAAGGCCUUCGGGUUGUAAAGCCCUUUUGUUGGGAAAGAAAAGCAGCAGGUUAAUACCCCGCUGUUCUGACGGUACCCAAAGAAUAAGCACCGGCUAACUUCGUG
rnacentral:rRNA from 1 species